UUUUUCAUUUUUUUUGUCAAGA
rnacentral:sRNA from 1 species